UAGGGAAUCUUCGGCAAUGGGGGCAACCCUGACCGAGCAACGCCGCGUGAGUGAAGAAGGUUUUCGGAUCGUAAAGCUCUGUUGUAAGAGAAGAACGUGUGUGAGAGUGGAAAGUUCACACAGUGACGGUAACUUACCAGAAAGGGACGGCUAACUACGUGCCAGCAGCCGCGGUAAUACGUAGGUCCCGAGCGUUGUCCGGAUUUAUUGGGCGUAAAGCGAGCGCAGGCGGUUUAAUAAGUCUGAAGUUAAAGGCAGUGGGUUAACCAUUGUUCGCUUUGGAAACUGUUAAGCUUGAGUGCAGAAGGGGAGAGUGGAAUUCCAAGUGUAGCGGUGAAAUGCGUAGAUAUAUGGAGGAGCAGCGGUGGCGAAAGCGGCUGUCUGGUCUGUAACUGACGCUGAGGCUCGAAAGCGUGGGGAGCAAACAGG
rnacentral:rRNA from 1 species